GUACACGCUGUGACUAGCAUAUCAAUAAGCGGAGGAAAAGAAACUAACAAGGAUUCCCCUAGUAACGGCGAGUGAAGCGGGAAGAGCUCAAAUUUGAAAUCUUAAAGGGUUUCCCUUUACGAAUUGUAGUUUAAAGAAGUGUUUUCUGUUGAGGUUUUGGUAAAAGUUCUUUGGAAUAGGACAUCAUAGAGGGUGAGAAUCCCGUAUUUGACCUUUACUUUCAACUUUGUGAUACACUUUCAAAGAGUCGGAUUGUUUGGGAAUGCAGUCCAAAAUGGGUGGUAAAUUUCAUCUAAAGCUAAAUAUUGGCGAGAGACCGAUAGCGAACAAGUACCGUGAGGGAAAGAUGAAAAGAACUUUGAAAAGAGAGUUAAACAGUACGUGAAAUUGUCAAAAGGGAAGCGUUUGACACCAGUGUUGUUUUUCUGAAAAUCAAUUAAAGAACUGUUUAUGCUAAGUUGUUUAGACUUUAUCAGCUAAUCUGUUUAGUUUUGAGCUUUUCUUUAAUGCACUUUUCAGUUAACAAGUCAACAUCAAUUUCUUUUGCUGUAAAAAAGCUUGAGGAAGGUGGCUUGAGAUUCGUCUUAAGUGUUUAUAGCCUCUUGCCUAUGCAGUCGGAGAGAUUGAGGUCUGCAGCGUAGAUCCUUCGGGGCUAAAUGCAUUUGUGCUAAGUUAUAGCAUUUUAUAGACAACUUGUUGACUAUGAUUUGUCUUGUAGCUUACUCGCUUAUGUUAUUUUACCUACGCUUAGGAUGUUGACUGAUAUGUAGUCGUA
rnacentral:rRNA from 1 species